CAUGGUGUUUUUAUACGGAACUCCUGAUGAGAGUAUAGGGAAAUAUAUCUUCUUCAGGAGGGAGAGCUUAGCAGCACACUGAAGGAAUAAAGGGUUGUUCUCUGUGGCAUUGGCCAGAUGCCUAUUGUAGUUUCUCCGCCAGAAACCAAGAACACAUUUCCAGUCCACCAGGAUGCAGAGGGAGGAUCCUGACCCAUUCUGCCUGCCUCCCCUCCCUAGAUGCUGUGUGAGAGUGGCUGCCCUUUUUGUGACCAUCCUUGGAAGGAGGCUACUGUGCUGGUGAAUUUUAGGAUGGAGAGCACUGGAAAAGACUAGCAGGCACUUUGGUUAGCUGAGCAGCAGCUUCCUCCCAGGAAGCCUUUAGGACCCAAGUGGAAAUCUCCAACCAAACGCUGAGCCCUACGUUGGCUGCUGGUGGCUCCAUCCCAUCCCACCCUGCUGGCACAGCUUGGAGCUGGAGAGCUGGGCCACGCUCGGCUAAAGCUGCAAAGCUGGUGUGCGGUUGGCAGUGCUUAGCACGUGUGUGCAUUCAGGCUGCUGACUGGGAUUGCUAGGAAGCCAAAGGAAGAGGCAGCCUAAGACUUUAAUCUCCCUCCUAUCUGGAGGUUAAGUUAACCCCAGCUGCACUGACAUUUUCCAGCCUGAAGCCGAGUGGCCGAUUACGUGCCUCUUGCUAGCGGCAGAAACCUGCACAGAUGGAACUUACACAUCUGCAAGCUCCAGGGGGUUAAAAAUAAACCCCACCCCACCGGUGGCUGUUUCAUGUCCAUUUAGAGGUGUGCCAUGCUUUUCAUGCAUUUCCAUUCUCAUACUCCUCUGUGAGACCUGAGAAAGUGCCUUGGUGGCAUUCUGACGUUUUGUUCAAGGCACUUUUUUUUUUUAACUAGUGCUAUCUGGGCUAGCUCAACCUCCGCAGAAUUAUUUCACCAGAAGUGCAUUUGCCAUCUAUGUGCCUUGUUCUAGACCGGGAGCUUCAACAUGUUUACCAGCACGUUUAUGGCGCUCUCUGCCACUGCUGUGGAGUCAGCAGCAAAUGACUGGGUGUUCCUCAGCAAGGCAGGGAUUUGGCCUCUGGAAUGGGUAAAACAUUUUCCCUUCUUUGUCUCUUUUUUUUCCCCCCUUUUCAUGCCCCAGUGCAGGGAAGCUUUGGUCAGAAGAGCACCAUCGCUCCUGCCACUUAUUUGUGUCAUCCCUGCGGAGUGGUGGCACUCCUUUUGGUGUGGGUGUCCCAGAAGAUCCCUGGCUCAGGCAUUACUCUGAGCACCUGGGGUGUCCUCAGGAGUGUGCCCUUUGCAGGAGGAGCCAUGCAUGCACCCUAGGGAGCAGCAGAGCAGCUGGGCCCAGACCCACAGCUUCUUGGGCCAUUUGAGAUGAGGGUGGGGUAAGGGGAUGAUUGUAACACGUGGACAGCGUUUAAAAGACAGGUAAAGCCUUUGUGGGUUCUGCAACGGAGGGGAGAAGCUGGGGUUGCUGGAGGAAGGGGCUGGCAUAGUUGCACUGCUCUGUUCUGGGGAAGGGACAGAUAAGAGGAGGGAAGAGGCAGGUGAGUCAGUGGGUAUGGAAAAUGAGGAGAGGGGCAAAUUCAAAGAGCCCCUUCCUCACCACAGGGGACAAAGCUCCUUGCCUGAAUGCUCACCUUGGAGAGACAGAGGCUUUGUGAAGGGCUUCUUUUCCUCUGAGUGCAAGGAAUGGAGGAAGACAGGAACUGGAAGCAGAACAAAGCUGGGAGAUGUGAAAGAGUGAAGUUUGAGCAAAGCAGCAGUAUGAGCAGGGCAUGCUAUGCAACUGGUGCAGCUGUACAGGAGCAUGCCUUGCUGCUGCUGCUCCUGGAGCAGGACAGGGAGCUCAGGACAGGGGCUGGCUGUCAGCAGGUAACCCCCAAGAGCAAAGCUGCAUGAAGAUGGACUCUCUCUGCCGAUGUCCACCGCAUCCCAGUCGCUGUUGGUUGUACCCACCCACUGCACGCUGCCUGAAACCCAAGAGAGCCUGGACAGCC
rnacentral:lncRNA from 7 species